UUUUCAUUGUAUUGUUGUGUGCAAAGAAACAAUCUUGAUAGAUUCCAUAUACAGACAACGCUUUUGUUGCAGUAUUGUUGUCAUGCCACAACAAAAUUAUGUUGUUAAUAAAUACAUUACAGAUAUGUGUGAAAGUUAACAUGCAAUAAACCCAUCCAGACCCAGCUCAGUAUAAGUCAGCAGAUUCAUAGCUCAGAAAAUCGUAAGAUUGUAGUGAUCCCUGUUCAGAAUGAAUUGCAUUGUGGGCAUGUUUGUGUGUGGCUGAGGCUAUCGGCGGUUGUGUGACAGUAUAGGUGUGUGUAUGUGAAGCUCUGUGUUGGGAGUGGAGCCAGCCUGUCAUUCAUAUGCGUGUGUGUAUGUGAAGCUCUGUGUUGGGAGUGGAGCUAGCCUGUCAUUCAUAUGGGUGUGUGUAUGUGAAGCUCUGUGUUGGGAGCGGAGCUACUCUUGUCGUGUCUAGGAAACGACAGAGUCCAAAUCUUCAAUUUGUCGAAAAACAUCUUCGCGAGGGAAAAGACGACACCAGGCAGCAAGAUCUUCAGAAAAAUCAGACUUUAUUAGCACACGUGCAUAAAGCCGGAUCAGCUCUCCAGAACUGAACCCCGACUGGCAUUUGUACACCCAUUUUAUACACAGUUACUCCACCUACAACUCCUCCUCAAACCUCAUUCUUGCAAAUCACCCACACUGUUCUUAUCGUAACUCCUCCCAACACUCCUCCUACAACGUCAUUGUGGCAAAUUGCCAACGGUCCUUAUGCUCUGCCAACUCUGUACAAAGUUCAGGGCAUUCUGCUAACUACGUGUCCUCACUUCACCCCGCACCUGCUCUUGGCAAACUACCAGACCUCAUAAAGUUCUGGAUGCCCUCCCUCUAACAAGUCAUCCAUACACGUCACUCUGUAUCUUUCGCUUUUAUAAGACGAACGAAGCAGCAGUAAUCAUUGAAAAUAUACAGACAAACUAAACAUUUCAUUAAUAUUCACUUCUAAUAUACUUUUCUAAUAUACAGACAUACUAAACAUUUGAUUAAUUAUUCUCUUCUAAGGGAGUAAAUGUACGUAGCAUUCUUCGCUCUCAUUUCGACAGUUUUCACUGUGGUUUCUUGCGUUUUCAUAAGCUCAGCUGUAAUUAAUGUUCUAGGUCAAAUAGAUACACUCCUGGCAUAAAACAUCGAGAGUCCCGGAGAAAUCAGCUGUACAGUCAUAUCUUGCUCUGCCCGUGUCCUUGACAGUUUGGUCUACACAGUUCAAGACGGGCCCCCCCCUGCCAGCUGGCUGGGCUCACUGUGUAAUCCUAGCACAAUUUAGCAGUUAAUCAGUUUGAAACUAUACAGGGUACAUAUCAUACUUUAAUACAGAUAUAUUGAUAAACUUUUAGCACACAUCGUCGAGAGUUUUGGAGGAACCAGCCUGCUCACUAAGGCGGAGUCUGAUUUUGACUUGUGAUUGGUUAUCGUGCUUUUAGGAGGGAGAUCUUUCGUUCUGUGAAUUUUCCCCUACACUCUGUCAUUGAUAUGGGUGCAAAACACGAGGAGCACCCCCCUCCCUUCCCUCCGUGUGAAGCCCAACCCAAAAAUCUAAAGAACCUGCAACUUGGUGGCUUCAGUGAUUGUAAUUAGUUUUCCAUAGAACGUCAAGAACGUCUAUAUUAUGAUCAUAUGCUCAUAGGCAGUUGCUCUGUCUCAUAAAAAGAAAAUAUAUCCCUAAAGAAUAUCGCCAUAUUCUAAAGCAUAGCGACUAUUGUGUGUUAUUUCCUUUACUGAAGACUGAUACAGAAGCUUGCACAGAAACGUAUACAGGGGAACUAAUAUUCAUCUUUUGAAAAUAUCGGCAGUAUAUGUCCUAGAUUAACCAACAGUGGGGUGCAAAAAUUUGGGGACCCCUGGUUUAACCCUUGUGUUUUGUUCACUUUUGGACACCUUGGUACAUUGAUUGGAAUAUUAUUUUCUUGAUGAAUACGGUAAAAUGACAGGUUUCCACCAUUUUUGUCCAGAGCUAAUUCAAUUACAUAUAAGAAUUCUUGCUUGCAGGAUAUCUCAAAAUGGCAUAAACAUGACUGUUUACUUAAAGAGUAGUUUUACUGGGGUCAGAACAUUAUUGGGAUGUUAAAGAAAUACAGUUUGUGUACAGGAAAUACAGAAAAUAAAGAUUGUGUAAAAAUUCUUAAUAAAUAUAGUCUUUAUUGUAUUCCAAAACAUGAUUGUUGGUGCCAGAUAAUUUGAUUAUCUCAGAAACUGCUGAUCUCCUUGGAUUUUCACAUUCUCUCUCAGUGUUCACCUUGUGCCAGCAUGUUGCUCAUCACAUGUCGAGUGACAGCCAUCUUUUGCUUAAAAUAUUCACCCAGCUAUUGUCCACCCUGUAAAACAUUGUUGUUUAUGAUUACCUUAUGAUAUGCAUACAUGAGCAUGGUAGAGUUAGGGACACUUGAUCUCAGAAAAUGUAAGUGUUAUAAUAAACAUGUAUUACAAACAGUUUCUAAUAGUCAUAAAUAUGUCCCAUAAAAGGAUGGAUAUUUGUCAGAAUGAUUAGGCUAUAUUGGUCUUAGCUUGACCGGUAUGUUUUUCUAACACAUAAACAUGUCCUCCUUCUGAUAAAAUGUCAAAAUAAUGGAUUUUUAAAACUUUACUAAGCCCAAAAGGCACCACAUAAUAGGAACGACCCAGGACUGGCCCUUGCGGAACCCCAGUGGGCCAAUCUGACUGAGAAGGAGACAGACAUGUAGUGGUGGAACAAAGCCUGACAGUAAAGUUAACCCUCUGGGGUCAACAAGAUCAGAUCAACUUUCCUUUCUUUUUGGACGAUUCACUUUUUGAGAUUUUACCAUACAGAUGCAAAGAACAUAUUGACGGAAACCUUAGAAUCUUGACUUCGCAAUGCACCUAUUGACACAUAAUCGUUUUAAAACAUUUAAAAUUACAUUAAUAAGACCACUGUGAUUUCUUAAUCUUUUCUCAUGAAUAUGUGAGUUUGGCCCUACACGAAUUCCGGCCUUUUGUGGCACAAUUUAAUUAAAAUGUACUAAAUUGUGGCAACCUGGCUAAAAUACCAGGGAUUUGAUGACGGUUUGUUGUCUGUACCAAGAUGGGCCACCAGUGGGUUCUGGUCAUGCCAGUAUGGUUGCUAGCUCAACCAUGUAGCCGGCAUGACCACCUCCAAACCAGAUUUUAGACCAACUGGAAACCAUCUUAAAACCAGGCUGGGACCAAGGUGUAAUUUCUACCAGGGAGUUUAAUCUGAUCUGCAGAAGAUGAAUAGCAGAGUGGUGCUAACGGUGACGAUAUAAAUACAUCUUAUGUCAGAUCUUGCAAUUACACGUAGUUGGGCGUUCCGAACAGUUUCCCUAAUGGAUUAUGUAGUGUAUAAUGUAGAAUACGUACAGUAGCUAUAUUUCCCCUUCGUAGUCUAUUACAAACACCAAAAACAAAGCAAAAACAACAACAACAACAACAAACAAAUAAAAAAACUGAUAUAUCCACUGGACGAAACAUUUGCCGUACGGAUAUGUUUAAGGAAUAUUCAUGUACACAUACAUUUCAUUUUAAAUUUUAACCGUGUGUGGCAUUCUUGAAAGGGAAUGAUAAAUUGCUUUGAAAAGUUCAAAUAAGAAAUCGCGUCGAAAUUACGUGGCCUAGAUGGCUGCAGAAUUUCAGAAACUGAAGUAGGACUAUUUAUUCGCACUUUUAUUACAUGUGAUACACUAAAAGAAUUAGAUCAUGUGAUAUCGUCUAUACGCGUUACUCCACUUUUUUCCAUUCCAUUAGUUAGUUUGAGGGUGCGACCGAUAAGAAUGUGCCUCUGCAAGGUGUCAGUCACGUUGCACAACUCUUUAUAGCGGCCAAUACCAAGUGUCGCCGGGGUAUAAAUUGGCGCUGAUUCUGUCCUAAAUUCUCAGAAGUUGCAAUCAGGGCUUCGUGCGCAGUGAGAACUAUCUUUUUACCGUUCAAUAUCGAUUCCGGGGACGAUGCUGCGGGUCAGAUGUCUGAGAGGAGGUAGCAGGGGAGCUGAAGCAGCUCACCUUAUUGGAACCAUGCUGGGCCGCGCUGUUACUGGAUGGAUCCACAGGGCAUUCCAGAGCACGUCAAGUUCGGCAGCCGCCGUUCAGUCCCAGGCGCUAGUGGAGGACACCGUGACUGAGCCACUCGCCCAGGAGUGUCCAGUGUGUGCCUUCAACGAGUGGGACCCGCUGGAGGAAGUGAUCGUCGGCAGGGCUGAGAAUGCACAUGUGCCUCCCUUUACAGUGGAGGUCAAGGCUAACACGUAUGAGAAGUAUUGGCCCUUCUACCAAAGAUUUGGGGGUCAGGUGUUUCCUGAGGACCACUUGAAGAAGGCCAUUGUUGAAAUUGAGGAAAUGUGCAAUAUUCUUCGUUUGGAGGGGGUUAAUGUGAGGAGGCCAGAGCCCAUCGACUGGUCCUUUAAAUACAGCACACCAGAUUUCACAUCUACAGGCAUGUAUGCGGCAAUGCCCCGAGACAUCCUCCUUGUUGUUGGAAAUGAGAUUAUUGAGGCUCCAAUGGCAUGGAGAUCUCGCUUUUUUGAGUACAGAGCCUACCGACCUCUCAUUAAAGAAUACUUCAGAAAAGGUGCUAAGUGGACCACAGCUCCAAAACCCACUAUGGCUGAUGACCUGUAUGACCAGGACUACCCGAUUAGAACUGUGGAAGACCGGCAGAAGCUCGCCACUCAGGGCAGGUUUGUCACCACGGAGCACGAGCCCUGCUUCGACGCAGCCGACUUCAUCCGCGCUGGAAGGGACAUUUUCGUCCAGAGGAGUCAGGUGACAAACUUCAUGGGGAUCGAGUGGAUGCGUCGACACCUGGCACCUGACUACAAAGUUCACAUCAUCUCAUUCGAAGACCCCAACCCCAUGCACAUCGAUGGCACCUUCAACAUCAUCGGCCCCGGCCUGGUGCUGUCCAAUCCGGACAGGCCAUGUCGGCAGAAUCUCGUUUACAAGGGCGGAAUCGAGACGGCUCCACAGAUGGCAUCCUUGACUAGUGAAUCUUGUCUGUUGGAGGCCGCUGGUGGCAGGCUUUAGAAUAGGACAGGGAAGGCUUGCGUUCUUCAUUCCUCCGGGCCUCUCCUGGGAACUCCGGAGGCCUGGAACUCAGAUGAGUAGCUGACGUGAGUAACAUGUUGCCCCUGUGAGUAAAAACUAUGGUCUCAGAGUGUGUUUCUUUGGGUUUUUUUUCUCUCCAACAAAUAACAAGUAAUUGCUUUUUUCAUGUUGAUGGUUGCAGACAUUUAUGUAGCCUCAAAAGUACAGUGCUUUAGGUCAUUCUACUCUGGGCUACUCUAAAGCCCCGGACACACCAAACCGACGGUCGGCCGUCGGACGUCGGUGGCGCACUGUUGGCCGAGUCUUUCUGGUGUGUCCCGCACGCCGAAACUCCGUCGGCGUGUUUUGGAGGGCUCCGACGCCGAUUCAACAUGUUGAAUCGGCGUCGGAGCCAUCGGACGUCGGAGAGAGCUCUCUCAUCGACGGAUCCGGGGGCUCCGACGCCGACCGUCGGUUCGGUGUGUCCGGGGCUUAAGGCUCUAAUCCUACUGGCUGCUCUCUUUCGUUAUAUUGCUUCCACUUAGUUGUUAACUGCCUUGCCUGUGAAUCUCGCUGCUAUGAACACAGGUCAUUGCAACACUUAUACUGUCAUCUAGUGGAAGAAGAGUGGAAAUGCUUGCGGCCUUUCAGAAGGACAUUUUUUCACUUGUGCUUGCAUGACAUUUUUCCUUGUCAGAUUGAAAUGUUCAUCAAGGCUGGCUGGACUGUGAUGAAGCCUCCAACGCCUCUGAUUCCUGAUGGUAUGUGUUGAAAUUCAGGAAUGUUAACAGGCUGAUGGACUUUUGGAUCAAUAAUGUUGACACAAUAAUGUUGACACUGUUGAUAGUCCUAUGGUACCCUAUAGGUGCAUAAAAUUGUACCCAGUCAGCAAUAUAUAACUAAUUUGUACCUUAUUUGCUUGGAAAAUGUACUGACAUUAAUUUCCUGGUAAUCCUAAGUACUGUUCCCAUUGUUCCCAACAUUUGGGAAAUUUUAUCCUUGAACAAAAACACCACCACUGUCACUUUUUGCUGGGAGUGUGAGUAUAACAAAACAAGAUACAAAACAAACAAUAAAAUAUGUUUUUGUUCAUCCAAAUUUCACAUAAAAUUCAGGAGUGAAAGGAGCUUUAAGUUUAAGCUUUUGUGUUUUCCUUCCUCUACCCUUAGACCAUCCCCUGUGGUUGGCCUCUAAGUGGCUCUCCAUGAAUGUCUUAAUGCUGGAUGAAAAGCGAGUCAUGGUCGAUGCCAAUGAAUUUUCCAUCCAAAAGAUGUUUGAAAGUCUUGGAAUUAAACCGAUUAAGGUGAGCAUUCGUCACG